rnacentral:hammerhead_ribozyme from 1 species
AUCCAGUUGACGAGUCCCAAAUAAGACGAAAAGAGGGUCAAACUGGAU